GACGAACGCUGGCGGCGUGCCUAAUACAUGCAAGUUGAGCGAUGAAGCUUGGUGCUUGCACCAAUUUGAAGAGCAGCGAACGGGUGAGUAACGCGUGGGGAAUCUGCCUUUGAGCGGGGGACAACAUUUGGAAACGAAUGCUAAUACCGCAUAACAACUUUAAACAUAAGUUUUAAGUUUGAAAGAUGCAAUUGCAUCACUCAAAGAUGAUCCCGCGUUGUAUUAGCUAGUUGGUGAGGUAAAGGCUCACCAAGGCGAUGAUACAUAGCCGACCUGAGAGGGUGAUCGGCCACAAUGGGACUGAGACAAGGCCCAAACUCCUACGGGAGGCAGCAGUAGGGAAUCUUCGGCAAUGGACGAAAGUCUGACCGAGCAACGCCGCGUGAGUGAAGAAGGGUUUCGGAUCGUAAAACUCUGUUGGUAGAGAAGAACGUUGGUGAGAGUGGAAAGCUCAUCAAGUGACGGUAACUACACAGAAAGGGACGGCUAACUACGUG
rnacentral:rRNA from 1 species